CAAAGCAAACAGCUAAAAAGAUGGAAGGCGUGGAUAUUGCUUUGGUCAAUGAGGACAAGGGGAAUGAAGUAGAUCAUGGCUUGGAUUCUAAUGCCGAUCCCAAACCUGCCUAUAAUAAAGAUGACUUCUUUGAUAAUAUAUCCCGCAAUACAGUUGCUCGUGGAGGUAGAAAUGGACAGAAUCGCAUUUCUCAGAGGAUGAGGCAGGAUAGUGAGACUUUCGGUAACCAUCAACAAAG
rnacentral:misc_RNA from 1 species